rnacentral:lncRNA from 1 species
AAUACCCCCACCAUCAAAUAGACGUUGGUGAAGAGAAAUUAUCUUGCAAGUGGAAAAGAUGUUGGGCAUGGUUUUGGGAGAUAGGGUUUGUGCUAAAGAAUGAGAAGAGUACCCACCGCUUCACGAUUACUCAGUCGGGUUAUUGAGGUAUAUCUAUCACUUAUAGAUUUAAAUAAUGAUAUUAUAGUAUAUGUUAGACUUGAGUAGGAUUAUUUUAGGGGUUUGGGUACAUAAUUGGGGAUUUCAUAGUUGCUCACGGGUAGUACGACAUAAGAUAAUUGUUGCAGAAGGUUUGAAGUUGAUUUUUGGUGUUCAGAUCUGCCGAUUAGUGGUUCGUUUGGUUGUCGCGCAGUUGUGGAGAGCAAUCGUGUUGGUUCUUCGUAACGGUGAGUGGUUUUCAACUGCUAUGACAUAUUUUUAACAGUCUUAUAACUGAUUUAAUUACUUUAACAUGUGACCUAUUUAUCUAAAUUGGGGAAACGUGUUUUAGUAUGUUUGACUAUCAUUCUUGAACUCUGAAAGCUGAUUUUAUGAAACUGAUUUUGAGCAUGUUUUAUGAAUUGGUAUGAGAAGAGAAUGACAUUGGGUUAAUUUGGAAAUUAUGUGAAAUUGAGAUUGUGAACUUGAAAAGCUUUGAUGAGCAUUGAAAAGUUGAUAUUGAGAAUGUUAUUUUAUAAAGCUUUGAUGAGCAUUUGAAAAUGAUUUUGAGACUGUUGAUGAGACUUGUAUUGGUUUGAGAAAACGGUUUUGGGGAUCCUUGAUAGAACCCUGUAGCCGUUAGCGGAGGUAACGGCCUAGGUGCACCUAGCUAGUUUGAUUCCGGGAGGAGAGGGCUAUCCGUUAGAUGAAGCCGCCAGUGCACAGAAAGGGCUAUCAACGAGAUGAAGCUUCCCCCGAUGAGAUUGAUGAGAUAUGACAUGAUUUCGGGUGGAGAGGGCUAUCCGUUAGAUGGAGCCGCCUCUUGGGUAAGAUAAUCCUUAAGAGGAAAGGGCUAUCAAUGAGAUGUAGCUUCCCCCGAUGACACGAUGUGACUUGAGAAAGGAAAGGGCUAUCCGCUAGAUGGAGCCACCCCUAUCGGAGAGGCCAUCCCUUAGGAGGAGAGGGCUAUCAGCGAGAUGGAGCCGCCUCAUGGUUCUACAUGUGUGACCCUAUUAAUUAUAUUUCUGGUUUUAUGUUUUUCAUAUCUGUGCAUGAUUUUAACUGUAUUUAUUUGAAAUGGUUAUUUAUGAACUUUAUGAUUUUUGUCAAGUUCAUAGUUGAAAUGAUUUAAACUGGUAUUAUUGAUGAUAUAAAUUGUUUAUACUGAGCUGAGAGCGAAAAACUCGUGCCUAGUUUGUUUCCCCUUCCUGUUCAUGGUGGUUGUUGACUGCUCACUAAGUCUUUGUGACUUACCCCAUUCAUUAUUUCCCUUCACAGAUUUUCAGGCAGCUUAGUAGCAGACUGUUGUCAGAUUCAGAUCAUUCGACUUAUUUCCUUUAGCAGGUUGUCAUAGUGGUGUCUUUUAUUUAAUCCUGGUUAUCUGCAGCUAUAGGGAGUCCUAGGUGGAUUUAGAUUUGGGAUUGUGAUUUAUUGUUAUAUUUUAAGAGUUGGCACUUGAGUGCUCGAGUUGGUUUUAUAUUUCACUUAAAAUACUGGUUAUGGAAGAACUCAUUGGCAGAUGUUGUUAAUUUGUAACUAUUGGAAUUACAAAAGAGAUUCUAGUAUUUUUAUAUAUGUGUACAAAGAUAUUUUGAAUAAAUUGUUUUGAAAAUGAUUCUAUGAGGAAGAGGCUUGCCAGGCUAGGGUGGUAGUCUGUGCGCCGGUCACGGCUUAGGAUUUUGGGUCAUGACAAAGUUGGUAUCAGAGCUUUGGCUGUAGGUCCUAAUAGCUGUAGACAUGAGGUAGUGAUAGAAUCUUUCUAGUAAAUUGUGAACCGCGGCACAACUUACUUCAAAGAUGAUAUUAACGCCUCAUGAGAGUCGUAAUGUUGUUUUCAAGUGUGAUUUUAGUUCGUUCCUCAUUCACUGAAUUCCGAGUCAUGUGAUAUGUUUGAUGAAUAUUCUUUGUUCAGUGAGGAUGCCACCUAAAUUAGGAUUUUCGUUAUACAAUGAGUUAUCUUACUAGGAUCAUCUUAAAGGAGGUCGUGGUCGGCGUUGUGGUUUAGGCGAAGGACCAUUGCCUGUAGGCGCUGGUUAAUUGCUGUGUAGCCGAUAUUAACGUGCUUAUCUUGGGGUUAUGAAAUUCAGGGAUGUUAGAGCUUAUAGUUGGUACGAACGUGUUGGAGUGGUUGUUGGACAGCAACAAGGGAACCCACAUAAGAAAAUUUAUGGGAGUCAGUUAGAGGUUAGACUGAGGAAAGUAACAACAAGUAGGUGCCACUAGAUAGAUUGAGGUCACGGUGAUUGGUUUUGGGUAGCUAAUUAAUUCUCCUACUUUACACAUGCGAGUAAGGAUCCACAAACGAAUAUUGGUUCUUUAGAGAGAUUGUGGACAUAACUUUGAUGUGCAUACAUUAAUGCGGUAUAGUUAAUAUAGUUCUAUCUUCUGAUUGUGGUAUAUGAUUAGAUUGAUGGCUUUAUGCGUAUGAGAGCACUGAGAUCACCUCUGAUAGCAUAAGAUGGAUUUUCUUAGAAAUUCAAGAAUCGUUUCGUAAUAGAGAGAGCUAGAGAGCUUAGCAAUUGAUUUGAGAUGCUAGGGCAGGCCGAGGACAGUGACUCUAGAGAGUGGUUCUAGUGGAUACUUGUCAGGAUUUGUUCAAAGUCGUAGAGUAGAUUUUAGGGGUCUUUACAAUCCAUUUUUAUUCCUAGAAGCAUUUUGAGCAAGAUCUACACGUUGUCCUACUUGUGUGAAGUUUCAUCCCGUAGCUUGCUUUGGAGAUGAUUAGGUGUGCUGUUAGUGCGAUUGAACAUGUCAUAUUACGAGGAAUUUCCUUGUGGUUGUGGUGCAACCUUUCUCUAGUAAUGGAUAAGUGUUAUUAGGAGUAGCUUUAGCAUCUUACCUGCUCCUACAACACUUGUUAGACGUGUUAUGAGUUUUUUGGCCGAGGACGUGUAGUACCAAAAAUUAUGGUAAAUUAAAUGGUAGUUGAGGUUGAUGAUAUGUUAGGAGAGUGGAGCUCGAGUCUUUGCUUUGACUCAUCAAGAUGCUUAGGCAACCAAUGUAAUGACAGUAAGUAUACUCUUCAUAUGAUCAUGAGAUGAUUACGUUUGCUUAAUGCUAAAGAUCGAUACUCUUUUUAUCAUUGUAGUCAACUUAGUGAAUUAUCUUCUUUCCUGAAUAAGAUGUUGGACGUUGCUGUACCUCUUUGGGAGCAUUUGGUAGUUGAGUUUGUGCACCAUUCUUUUUAAGGUAUCCAUUGGAGAUCGAUUGAGAGUUGUUGAUAAUCGUUAUAGCUUAAGACAUGAUUGAUUUUAAUGUGAUCUUUGGAUAUAGAUUGGUUAAUCUUUUAGUCAACGAUACUUUGGACUGUCAUAAAUAGGGUAGUGAGAUUUAAAGUACAUGGAGAAUCUUUUUUCCCAUUUCCGGAGAGCGAAGUGGACACCUCAUAAUCCAAUUUCAGCAUUGAAAGGUUACUACGAAAGAGUUGUAGGUGAUAAUUGAUCUUGGUAGAAGAUAUUCAAUUAGAAAAAAUUGAAACAAGAAGAGAUUUUUGUGGUGGGUGUUUUGCAGAAUGUAUUCCCUAGAAAAUUUCUUGGUGUACCUUCCAAUAAGGGGAUAGAGUUUUCCAUAUACUUAGUUUCUGAACCAGAUUUAUUGUGAAGAAUAGAGUCAAGACCAUAGUUAUGUGUUGACUACAGGCAGUUGGAGAAUAUGAUGGUAUUAAAAAAAAAGGGAGACUUAGUGAUCUAGGUACCAUAAAUGGAAAAUUAAGAAAGAAAGAAUUUUGAAGACCACUUACAGCACAUGUUGUGACUGUAAUGGGUUGUUGGUCAUGCCUUUGGACCUAGUGACACCACUGCUGAUUUAAGAAUUCAGUGAACCAUAUCUUUGAAUCCUUCUUUGAGCAUUUUAUGAUUGUGUUUAUUAAUGAUAUUCUUAGUUAUACUGAGGAUAAAUAAGAGCUCUAGAAGCUUGUUGAUAGUGGAGUUCCAUUUGGGGCUUGCCCAUUUCAACUUAAUGUUGAGUGUUGACUUACAUGCAAAUUCUUUUUACUCUGGUAGAUGUUAGAAAAAACUCAAGGUUAAGAAUUGAAGAGGAUUUUGAUGGAGAUGAUGUUAGUGGUCCACCCAGAAAACAAUUUUAACACUUAUAGUUUUGGGGAAAAAAAAAAACUUUUGCUGUAAAAAAAAAAAAAAAAAAACCCCCUGGUUGGAAAAAAAAAAAAAGAGAGACUUCUGAGUUUGCUAAUUUACUGGUUAGAAGCUUUGGCAAAUUGAUCACAGUCAUCUUCCUAUUGCUUCAUGUGAUAAUCCUAGGCAAUCAUGUAGUCCAUAAUUUCCUAAUUAUUGUAUGGUUACUUGGUGCAACUGUGGCCAUUACAUCAGGUAGUUGCCUGAAGGAUUCUAAGCCCUUUUAUUCAUUAGUUCCAGUAACACUUAAAUAUACUGUAUGAUAGCCUUUCAGUUAAAAAAAAAUUGCAAAGGGUGAAGAUGGAAGAGGAUGUUUAAAGUGAAAAGAUUUUAUAGUUUUCAUUAGACUUUGUUGACAUUUAGUGAUUUGAAUGAUAAAUAGGUGUGCCUAAUGUAGAUUGUUUGAGGAAGAAAUAUUAGAGGAGACUCAUCGUUCUUCAUACACCAUACACAUGAAUUCCAUAAAUGAUUCAAUACUUGAAAGCACAUUUAUUGGUGGGAAGGAAUAAAAUAAAAUAAAAACGUAGUGGAAUUUGUUUCUAAAUGGUAUGUCAAGGAGGUAAGGAUAAGCACUAAAACCCAGUAGAGGUGCUUCAAUCUAUUGAGAUAAGUGAAAGUGGAUAGGUAUUGCUAUGAAUUUCAUGAUAGAUUUUCCUAGGACAUCAAGGGGUUAUGGUUCCUUAGGUGUGAUUAUAGAUUGAUUGUCAAAGUUGGCACACUUCUUGCCUGUGAGAGUACCUACACUGGAGCUGCGUAUACUAAGCUAUACUUGGAUAAGUGUGAUUAUUUACUUGCUGUACAUGUGUCUACAAUUAUUGGAAAGCUCAAUUCAUUUCACAAUUUUGGAAGUCUUCCUUGAAUUGCUUUGAUGACUCGCUUGAAUUUAAAUAUUGUUUAUAUCUUGAGCUAAUGCUCAUACAAGCAUGAGAGAGACUAUUAAGAUCUUAGAGGAUAUGCUUUGGGUCUGUGUUCUACAACAAAGAGGGAGUUCAAAGCAGUAGUUGUCUUUGUUUGAAUUUGCUUAUAAUAACAAUUGUCAAUCUAGCAUUUGGAUGACACUAUUUGAGGUUUGGUAUGGUAAGUGAUGCAGGUUACCAAAUAGGUUGGUUUGAAAUUGAAUAAGCUAAACUUUUAGGCACGGAACUUUUCCAUGAUGUAUAAUUAGAUGAGCAUUUACCUUAUGGAACAUCCAGUAGCCAUGGUUGAUAUGAGGGUGAAGUGUAUGCAUUCUAAGAGAAUUGAUUCAGUGAAAGUUCUUUGGUUAGGACCACCUGGUGAGGUGAAGAGAAAUCUUAGGAACGUGGAGUAACCAGUAUCUCUCGCUAUAGGAAACUUAAAAGUUAGCUAAAACUAUAAAAUUCGAGGACGAAUUUUUCUAAGGGGGGAAGAUUGAAACAUCCUGUUAAAAAAAAAGGUACAGGAAAUAGAAAAAAAAUAUAUAUACAUAUAUAUUUAAUAAAGCAAAAACUUAUAAUAAUAAUAGUUAAAAAAAAAAAAAACAAUCUAACCUAACCCCAUAACCCACGCAGCCCCACACCCACAAUUGCUGAAACCGUAAAAAAAAAAACAAUUCUUUUCUCUCUCUGUGCUCGUUGCUUUCUUUCUUCUCCUGUGCGCAGCUUUGGUUCUUUUCUCUUCUCUUCAAUUUUCUUUCUUCUUCAAAGGAAACAAAAUACUACACAAUACCCCCACCAUCAAAUAGACGUUGGUGAAGAGAAAUUAUCUUGCAAGUGGAAAAGAUGUUGGGCAUGGUUUUGGGAGAUAGGGUUUGUGCUAAAGAAUGAGAAGAGUACCCACCGCUUCACGAUUACUCAGUCGGGUUAUUGAGGUAUAUCUAUCACUUAUAGAUUUAAAGAAUGAUAUUAUAGUAUAUGUUAGACUUGAGUAGGAUUAUUUUAGGGGUUUGGGUACAUAAUUGGGGAUUUCAUAGUUGCUCACGGGUAGUACGACAUAAGAUAAUUGUUGCUGAAGGUUUGAAGUUGAUUUUUGGUGUUCAGAUCUGCCGGUUAGUGGUUCGUUUGGUUGUCGCGCAGUUGUGGAGAGCAAUCGUGUUGGUUCUUCGUAACGGUGAGUGGUUUUCAACUGCUAUGACAUAUUUUUAACAGUCUUAUAACUGAUUUAAUUACUUUAACAUGUGACCUAUAUAUCUAAAUUGGAGAAACGUGUUUUAGUAUGUUUGACUAUCAUUCUUGAACUCUGAAAGCUGAUUUUAUGAAACUGAUUUUGAGCAUGUUUUAUGAAUUGGUAUGAGAAGAGAAUGACAUUGGGUUAAUUUUGAAAUUAUGUGAAAUUGAGAUUGUGAACUUGAAAAGCUUUGAUGAGCAUUGAAAAGUUGAUAUUGAGAAUGUUAUUUUGAAAAGCUUUGAUGAGCAUUUGAAAAUGAUUUUGAGACUGUUGAUGAGACUUGUAUUGGUUUGAGAAAACGGUUUUGGGGAUCCGUGAUAGAACCCCGUAGCCGUUAGCGGAGGUAACGGCCUAGGUGCACCUAGCUAGUUUGAUUCCGGGAGGAGAGGGCUAUCCGUUAGAUGAAGCUGCCAGUGCACAGAAAGGGCUAUCAACGAGAUGAAGCUUCCCCCGAUGAGAUUGAUGAGAUAUGACAUGAUUUCGGGUGGAGAGGGCUAUCCGUUAGAUGGAGCCGCCUCUUGGGUAAGAUAAUCCUUAAGAGGAAAGAGCUAUCAAUGAGAUGUAGCUUCCCUCGAUGACACGAUGUGACUUGAGAAAGGAAAGGGCUAUCCGCUAGAUGGAGCCACCCCUAUCGGAGAGGCCAUAUCUUAGGAGAGAGAGCUAUCAGCGAGAUGGAGCCGCCUCAUUGUUCUACAUGUGUGACCCUAUUAAUUAUAUUUCUGGUUUUAUGUUUUUCAUAUAUGUGCAUGAUUUUAACUGUAUUUAUUUGAAAUGGUUAUUUAUGAACUUUAUGAUUUUUGUCAAGUUCAUAGUUGAAAUGAUUUAAACUGGUAUUAUUGAUGAUAUAAAUUGUUUAUACUGAGCUGAGAGCGAAAAACUCGUGCCUAGUUUGUUUCCCCUUCCUGUUCAUGGUGGUUGUUGACUGCUCACUAAGUCUUUGUGACUUACCCCAUUCAUUAUUUCCCUUCACAGAUUUUCAGGCAGCUUAGUAGCAGACUGUUGUCAGAUUCAGAUCAUUCGACUUAUUUCCUUUAGCAGGUUGUCAUAGUGGUGUCUUUUAUUUAAUCCUGGUUAUCUGCAGCUAUAGGGAGUCCUAGGUGGAUUUAGAUUUGGGAUUGUGAUUUAUUGUUAUAUUUUAAGAGUUGGCACUUGAGUGCUCGAGUUGGUUUUAUAUUUCACUUAAAAUACUGGUUAUGGUAGAACUCAUUGGCAGAUGUUGUUAAUUUGUAACUAUUGGAAUUACAAAAGAGAUUCUAGUGUUUUUAUAUAUGUGUACAAAGAUAUUUUGAAUAAAUUGUUUGGAAAAUGAUUCUAUGAGGAAGAGGCUUGCCAGGCUAGGGUGGUAGUCUGUGCGCCGGUCACGGCUUAGGAUUUUGGGUCAUGACAAAGUUGGUAUCAGAGCUUUGGCUGUAGGUCCUAAUAGCUGUAGACAUGAGGUAGUGAUAGAAUCUUUCUAGUAAAUUGUGAACCGCGGCACAACUUACUUCAAAGAUGAUAUUAACGCCUCAUGAGAGUCGUAAUGUUGUUUUCAAGUGUGAUUUUAGUUCGUUCCUCAUUCACUGAAUUCCGAGUCAUGUGAUAUGUUUGAUGAAUAUUCUUUGUUCAGUGAGGAUGCCACCUAAAUUAGGAUUUUCGUUAUACAAUGAGUUAUCUUACUAGGAUCAUCUUAAAGGAGGUCGUGGUCGGCGUUGUGGUUUAGGCGAAGGACCAUUGCCUGUAGGCGCUGGUUAAUUGCUGUGUAGCCGAUAUUAACGUGCUUAUCUUGGGGUUAUGAAAUUCAGGGAUGUUAGAGCUUAUAGUUGGUACGAACGUGUUGGAGUGGUUGUUGGACAGCAACAAGGGAACCCACAUAAGAAAAUUUAUGGGAGUCAGUUAGAGGUUAGACUGAGGAAAGUAACAACAAGUAGGUGCCACUAGAUAGAUUGAGGUCACGGUGAUUGGUUUUGGGUAGCUAAUUAAUUCUCCUACUUUACACAUGCGAGUAAGGAUCCACAAACGAAUAUUGGUUCUUUAGAGAGAUUGUGGACAUAACUUUGAUGCGCAUACAUUAAUGCGGUAUAGUUAAUAUAGUUCUAUCUUCUGAUUGUGGUAUAUGAUUAGAUUGAUGGCUUUAUGCGUAUGAGAGCACUGAGAUCACCUCUGAUAGCAUAAGAUGGAUUUUCUUAGAAAUUCAAGAAUCGUUUCGUAAUAGAGAGAGCUAGAGAGCUUAGCAAUUGAUUUGAGAUGCUAGGGCAGGCCGAGGACAGUGACUCUAGAGAGUGGUUCUAGUGGAUACUUGUCAGGAUUUGUUCAAAGUCGUAGAGUAGAUUUUAGGGGUCUUUACAAUCCAUUUUUAUUCCUAGAAGCAUUUUGAGCAAGAUCUACACGUUGUCCUACUUGUGUGAAGUUUCAUCCCGUAGCUUGCUUUGGAGAUGAUUAGGUGUGCUGUUAGUGCGAUUGAACAUGUCAUAUUACGAGGAAUUUCCUUGUGGUUGUGGUGCAACCUUUCUCUAGUAAUGGAUAAGUGUUAUUAGGAGUAGCUUUAGCAUCUUACCUGCUCCUACAACACUUGUUAGACGUGUUAUGAGUUUUUUGGCCGAGGACGUGUAGUACCAAAAAUUAUGGUAAAUUAAAUGGUAGUUGAGGUUGAUGAUAUGUUAGGAGAGUGGAGCUCGAGUCUUUGCUUUGACUCAUCAAGAUGCUUAGGCAACCAAUGUAAUGACAGUAAGUAUACUCUUCAUAUGAUCAUGAGAUGAUUACGUUUGCUUAAUGCUAAAGAUCGAUACUCUUUUUAUCAUUGUAGUCAACUUAGUGAAUUAUCUUCUUUCCUGAAUAAGAUGUUGGACGUUGCUGUACCUCUUUGGGAGCAUUUGGUAGUUGAGUUUGUGCACCAUUCUUUUUAAGGUAUCCAUUGGAGAUCGAUUGAGAGUUGUUGAUAAUCGUUAUAGCUUAAGACAUGAUUGAUUUUAAUGUGAUCUUUGGAUAUAGAUUGGUUAAUCUUUUAGUCAACGAUACUUUGGACUGUCAUAAAUAGGGUAGUGAGAUUUAAAGUACAUGGAGAAUCUUUUUUCCCAUUUCCGGAGAGCGAAGUGGACACCUCAUAAUCCAAUUUCAGCAUUGAAAGGUUACUACGAAAGAGUUGUAGGUGAUAAUUGAUCUUGGUAGAAGAUAUUCAAUUAGAAAAAAUUGAAACAAGAAGAGAUUUUUGUGGUGGGUGUUUUGCAGAAUGUAUUCCCUAGAAAAUUUCUUGGUGUACCUUCCAAUAAGGGGAUAGAGUUUUCCAUAUACUUAGUUUCUGAACCAGAUUUAUUGUGAAGAAUAGAGUCAAGACCAUAGUUAUGUGUUGACUACAGGCAGUUGGAGAAUAUGAUGGUAUUAAAAAAAAAGGGAGACUUAGUGAUCUAGGUACCAUAAAUGGAAAAUUAAGAAAGAAACAAUUUUGAAGACCACUUACAACACAUGUUGUGACUGUAAUGGGUUGUUGGUCAUGCCUUUGGACUUAGUGACACCACUGCUGAUUUAAGAAUUCAGUGAACCAUAUCUUUGAAUCCUUCUUUGAGCAUUUUAUGAUUGUGUUUAUUAAUGAUAUUCUUAGUUAUACUGAGGAUAAAGAAGAGCUCUAGAAGCUUGUUGAUAGUGGAGUUCCAUUUGGGGCUUGCCCAUUUCAACUUAAUGUUGAGUGUUGACUUACAUGCAAAUUCUUUUUACUCUGGUAGAUGUUAGAAAAAACUCAAGGUUAAGAAUUGAAGAGGAUUUUGAUGGAGAUGAUGUUAGUGGUCCACCCAGAAAACAAUUUUAACACUUAUAGCUUUGGUGGAAAGAAGAAGCUUUUGCUGUAAAAAAAAAAAAAAAACACCCUGGUUGGAAAAAAAAGAGAGAGAGACUUCUGAGUUUGCUAAUUUACUGGUUAGAAGCUUUGGCAAAUUGAUCACAGUCAUCUUCCUAUUGCUUCAUGUGAUAAUCCUAGGCAAUCAUGUAGUCCAUAAUUUCCUAAUUAUUGUAUGGUUACUUGGUGCAACUGUGGCCAUUACAUCAGGUAGUUGCCUGAAGGAUUCUAAGCCCUUUUAUUCAUUAGUUCCAGUAACACUUAAAUAUACUGUAUGAUAGCCUUUCAGUUAAAAAAAAAAAUUGCAAAGGGUGAAGAUGGAAGAGGAUGUUUAAAGUGAAAAGAUUUUAUAGUUUUCAUUAGACUUUGUUGACAUUUAGUAAUUUGAAUGAUAAAUAGGUGUGCCUAAUGUAGAUUGUUUGAGGAAGAAAUAUUAGAGGAGACUCAUCGUUCUUCAUACACCAUACACAUGAAUUCCAUAAAUGAUUCAAUACUUGAAAGCACAUUUAUUGGUGGGAAGGAAUAAAAUAAAAUAAAAACGUAGUGGAAUUUGUUUCUAAAUGGUAUGUCAAGGAGGUAAGGAUAAGCACUAAAACCCAGUAGAGGUGCUUCAAUCUAUUGAGAUAAGUGAAAGUGGAUAGGUAUUGCUAUGAAUUUCAUGAUAGAUUUUCCUAGGACAUCAAGGGGUUAUGGUUCCUUAGGUGUGAUUAUAGAUUGAUUGUCAAAGUUGGCACACUUCUUGCCUGUGAGAGUACCUACACUGGAGCUGCGUAUACUAAGCUAUACUUGGAUAAGUGUGAUUAUUUACUUGCUGUACAUGUGUCUACAAUUAUUGGAAAGCUCAAUUCAUUUCACAAUUUUGGAAGUCUUCCUUGAAUUGCUUUGAUGACUCGCUUGAAUUUAAAUAUUGUUUAUAUCUUGAGCUAAUGCUCAUACAAGCAUGAGAGAGACUAUUAAGAUCUUAGAGGAUAUGCUUUGGGUCUGUGUUCUACAACAAAGAGGGAGUUCAAAGCAGUAGUUGUCUUUGUUUGAAUUUGCUUAUAAUAACAAUUGUCAAUCUAGCAUUUGGAUGACACUAUUUGAGGUUUGGUAUGGUAAGUGAUGCAGGUUACCAAAUAGGUUGGUUUGAAAUUGAAUAAGCUAAACUUUUAGGCACAGAACUUUUCCAUGAUGUAUAAUUAGAUGAGCAUUUACCUUAUGGAACAUCCAGUAGCCAUGGUUGAUAUGAGGGUGAAGUGUAUGCAUUCUAAGAGAAUUGAUUCAGUGAAAGUUCUUUGGUUAGGACCACCUGGUGAGGUGAAGAGAAAUCUUAGGAACGUUGAGUAACCAGUAUCUCUCGCUAUUGGAAACUUAAAAGUUAGCUAAAACUAUAAAAUUCGAGGACGAAUUUUUCUAAGGGGGAAGAUUGAAACAUCUUGUUAAAAAAAAAGGUACAGGAAAUAGAAAAAAAAAAUAUAUACAUAUAUAUUUAAUAAAGCAAAAACUUAUAAUAAUAAUAGUUAAAAAAAAAAAAACAAUCUAACCUAACCCCAUAACCCACGCAGCCCCACACCCACAAUUGCUGAAACCGUAAAAAAAAAACAAUUCUUUUCUCUCUCUGUGCUCGUUGCUUUCUUUCUUCUCCUGUGCGCAGCUUUGGUUCUUUUCUCUUCUCUUCAAUUUUCUUUCUUCUUCAAAGGAAACAAAAUACUACACAAUACCCCCACCAUCAAAUAGACGUUGGUGAAGAGAAAUUAUCUUGCAAGUGGAAAAGAUGUUGGGCAUGGUUUUGGGAGAUAGGGUUUGUGCUAAAGAAUGAGAAGAGUACCCACCGCUUCACGAUUACUCAGUCGGGUUAUUGAGGUAUAUCUAUCACUUAUAGAUUUAAAGAAUGAUAUUAUAGUAUAUGUUAGACUUGAGUAGGAUUAUUUUAGGGGUUUGGGUACAUAAUUGGGGAUUUCAUAGUUGCUCACGGGUAGUACGACAUAAGAUAAUUGUUGCUGAAGGUUUGAAGUUGAUUUUUGGUGUUCAGAUCUGCCGGUUAGUGGUUCGUUUGGUUGUCGCGCAGUUGUGGAGAGCAAUCAUGUUGGUUCUUCGUAACGGUGAGUGGUUUUCAAAUGCUAUGACAUAUUUUUAACAGUCUUAUAACUGAUUUAAUUACUUUAACAUGUGACCUAUUUAUCUAAAUUGGGGAAACGUGUUUUAGUAUGUUUGACUAUCAUUCUUGAACUCUGAAAGCUGAUUUUAUGAAACUGAUUUUGAGCAUGUUUUAUGAAUUGGUAUGAGAAGAGAAUGACAUUGGGUUAAUUUGGAAAUUAUGUGAAAUUGAGAUUGUGAACUUGAAAAGCUUUGAUGAGCAUUGAAAAGUUGAUAUUGAGAAUGUUAUUUUGAAAAGCUUUGAUGAGCAUUUGAAAAUGAUUUUGAGACUGUUGAUGAGACUUGUAUUGGUUUGAGAAAACGGUUUUGGGGAUCCUUGAUAGAACCCCGUAGCCGUUAGCGGAGGUAACGGCCUAGGUGCACCUAGCUAGUUUGAUUCCGGGAGGAGAAGGCUAUCCGUUAGAUGAAGCCGCCAGUGCACGGAAAGGGCUAUCAACGAGAUGAAGCUUCCCCCGAUGAGAUUGAUGAGAUAUGACAUGAUUUCGGGUGGAGAGGGCUAUCCGUUAGAUGGAGCCGCCUCUUGGGUAAGAUAAUCCUUAAGAGGAAAGGGCUAUCAAUGAGAUGUAGCUUCCCCCGAUGACACGAUGUGACUUGAGAAAGGAAAGGGCUAUCCGCUAGAUGGAGCCACCCCUAUCGGAGAGGCCAUCCCUUAGGAGGAGAGGGCUAUCAGCGAGAUAGAGUCGCCUCAUGGUUCUACAUGUGUGACCCUAUUAAUUAUAUUUCUGAUUUUAUGUUUUUCAUAUCUGUGCAUGAUUUUAACUGUAUUUAUUUGAAAUGGUUAUUUAUGAACUUUAUGAUUUUUGUCAAGUUCAUAGUUGAAAUGAUUUAAACUGGUAUUAUUGAUGAUAUAAAUUGUUUAUACUGAGCUAAGAGCGAAAAACUCGUGCCUAGUUUGUUUCCCCUUCCUGUUCAUGGUGGUUGUUGACUGCUCACUAAGUCUUUGUGACUUACCCCAUUCAUUAUUUCCCUUCACAGAUUUUCAGGCAGCUUAGUAGCAGACUGUUGUCAGAUUCAGAUCAUUCGACUUAUUUCCUUUAGCAGGUUGUCAUAGUGGUGUCUUUUAUUUAAUCCUGGUUAUCUGCAGCUAUAGGGAGUCCUAGGUGGAUUUAGAUUUGGGAUUGUGAUUUAUUGUUAUAUUUUAAGAGUUGGCACUUGAGUGCUCGAGUUGGUUUUAUAUUUCACUUAAAAUACUGGUUAUGGUAGAACUCAUUGGCAGAUGUUGUUAAUUUGUAACUAUUGGAAUUACAAAAGAGAUUCUAGUGUUUUUAUAUAUGUGUACAAAGAUAUUUUGAAUAAAUUGUUUGGAAAAUGAUUCUAUGAGGAAGAGGCUUGCCAGGCUAGGGUGGUAGUCUGUGCGCCGGUCACGGCUUAGGAUUUUGGGUCAUGACAAUAGGGUUACUCUGUCUUGAUUAUUGGAUUUGAAAUUGUUGAUAUAUAUUUGUGCAUAUGCGUUGUUGGAUUGUACUGUGUGGCCUUCGUGGCGUUAUUAAGUGGCGAUCAGGAGGUGUGGUCCUAUGAUUGUCCCGUCUUGUGAGACGUUAUAAGUGGCGAUGAGGAGGUGUGGUCCUAUCAUUGUCCCGUCUUGUGAGACGUUAUAAGUGGCGAUGAGGAGGUGUGGUCCUAUCAUUGUCCCGUCUUGUGAGACGUUAUAAGUGGCGAUGAGGAGGUGUGGUCCUAUCAUUGUCCCGUCUUGUGAGACGCUAAGUGGCGAUCAGGACGUGUGGUCCUAUGAUUGUCCCGUCUUGUGAGACGUUAUAAGUGGCGAUGAGGAGGUGUGGUCCUAUCAUCGUCCCGUCUUUUAAGACGUUAUUGAUUGACUCAUAUUGUUGGUUUUAUUGUCAUCUGAUAUGUUAAGUGGUUGAUAGCUGAGUUAAUCUAUAUUGUUGAGGUUGUUGAUAUCUAGUUUGAUUUAUAUUGUUGAGGAUUAUUGAUAUCUGAUUUGAUGUUAUAUUGUUGAGAAUUAUUGAUAUCUGAUUUGUCGUUAUAUUGUUGAGGAUUAUUGAUAUCUGAUUUGUCGUUAUAUUGUUGAGAAUUAUUGAUAUCUGAUUUGUCGUUACAUUGUUGAGGAUUGUUGAUGCCUGAAUAAAUGUUAUGAUGUUAAGUUGUUGAUAUAUGAGUUGAGUUAUGAUGCUAGUUCAUUUACCAUGCUAGGUCAUUAAAUUUGAAUAGCAUGAUUUUCUCUUUUAUACAUGGUAAUUGCAUGGAGUUAACCCUUUCUAUUUGCUACUUGUUAUUUGGGCGCUUAACGCUAUUAGGCGAUGGAGAUCCUUCCGCCGAGGCUUAGCUGCUCGAGUUGGAGAUCGAGUCGUAAGCGGUGGAGUAGAGGUGUGAGAAGCAGCUUUGCUUCUCUUCUUGUGGAUUAUGUUUGAGUCUCCCUUUCUUUAAGAGAACUCUGUUAUUAAAGCCUUGCUUCCGCCACUGUUAAAGUGCGC